UUUGCACAACUUGCUUAUAGCUCAAGGAUUUCAAAAUCCUGUAUAGUUUAUAUUGUGAAAUCAGUGUGCACAGCAAUUUGGAAUGCUGCUGUACAUAUUCACAUGCAUAGGUAGGCCUAAUAAAAAUGAUUAGGAAAGAGAAUUCCUGCUUCCAGGAUUCCCAAAUUGUUUUGGGGCUAUAGAUGGAAAACAUAUAUAUAUCAAGAGCCCUCUUGUGGCUCACAAUUUUUUAACUGCAAGCAUAGAUUUUCAAUUAACCUGUUAGCCCUAACAGACAUUAACAGGAAAUUUAUUUAUAUAGAUGUGGGAGCAUAUGGAAAGCAGAGUGAUGGUAGAGUAUAGAAAUAGCUCUUUAUAUAGAGUUGGUGAACCAUACACUUGAUCUGCCUGCUUUAUGUAAUCAUCCAAAUUAGAUACAACAAUGAUAAACCUCACUACAAGACCUUUCUUACCUAGCAGAGAAAAUAAUUCUACUUCAAUUGAAUCAAAAAUUCUUAGAG